CCCUAUGGGGUGCAGCAGGCGCGAAACCUUUACAAUGCACGCAAGUGUGAUAAGGGGACCCCCAGUGCUUAUGUUUAACAUAGGCUUUUGUAAAAGGUAAAUACUUUUUCGAAUAAGUGGUGGGUAAGACCGGUGCCAGCCGCCGCGGUAACACCGGCGCCACGAGUGGCAAUCACUUUUAUUGGGCCUAAAGCGUCCGUAGCUGGUCUUGUAAGUCUUUUGUGAAAUCGUCAAGCUUAACUUGACGGCGUGCUUAAGAUACUGCAAGACUUGGAAUCGGGAGGAGUCAGAGGUAUUCUGAGGGGAGCGGUAAAAUGCUAUAAUCCUCAGAGGACCACCUGUGGCAAAGGCGUCUGACUAGAACGAGUUCGACAGUGAGGGACGAAAGCCAGGGGAGCGAUCCGGAUUAGAUACCCGAGUAGUCCUGGCCGUAAACUCUGCGAGCUAGGCGUUGCAGAUUCCACGUGAAUCUGCAGUGUCGUAGCGAAGGCGUUUAGCUCGCCGCCUGGGAAGUAUGGUCGCAAGGCUGAAACUUAAAGGAAUUGGCGGGGGAGCACUACAACGAGUGGAAUGUGCGGUUUAAUCUAAUUCAACGCAGAGAAUCUCACCAGCAGCGACGGCAGGAUGAAAGUCAGAUUGAAGGUCUUACUUAACAAGCCGAGAGGAGGUGCAUGGCC
rnacentral:rRNA from 1 species